AUUGAACGCUGGCGGCAGGCUUAACACAUGCAAGUCGAGCGGGGGAAGGUAGCUUGCUACUGGACCUAGCGGCGGACGGGUGAGUAAUGCUUAGGAAUCUGCCUAUUAGUCGGGGACAACAUCUCGAAAGGGAUGCUAAUACCGCAUACGUCCUACGGGAGAAAGCAGGGGAUCUUCGGACCUUGCGCUAAUAGAUGAGCCUAAGUCGGAUUAGCUAGUUGGUGGGGUAAAGGCCUACCAAGGCGACGAUCUGUAGCGGGUCUGAGAGGAUGAUCCGCCACACUGGGACUGAGACACGGCCCAGACUCCUACGGGAGGCAGCAGUGGGGAAUAUUGGACAAUGGGGGGAACCCUGAUCCAGCCAUGCCGCGUGUGAAGAAGGCCUUAUGGUUGUAAAGCACUUUAAGCGAGGAGGAGGCUACUUUAGUUAAUACCUAGAGAUAGUGGACGUUACUCGCAGAAUAAGCACCGGCUAACUCUGUGCCAGCCGCCGCAGUAA
rnacentral:rRNA from 1 species